AUUGAACGCUGGCGGCAGGCCUAACACAUGCAAGUCGAACGGUAACAGGAAGAAGCUUGCUUCUUUGCUGACGAGUGGCGGACGGGUGAGUAAUGUCUGGGAAACUGCCUGAUGGAGGGGGAUACCUACUGGAAACGGUAGCUAAAACGGCAUAACGUCGCAAGCCCAAAGAGGGGGACCUUCGGGCCUCUUGCAAUGGGAUGUGCCCAGAUGGGAUUAGCUAGUAGGUGGGGUAACGGCUCACCUAGGCGACGAUCCCUAGCUGGUCUGAGAGGAUGACCAGCCACACUGGAACUGAGACACGGUCCAGACUCCUACGGGAGGCAGCAGUGGGGAAUAUUGCACAAUGGGCGCAAGCCUGAUGCAGCCAUGCCGCGUGUAUGAAGAAGGCCUUCGGGUUGUAAAGUACUUUCAGCGGGGAGGAAGGGAGUAAAGUUAAUACCUUUGCUCAUUGACGUUACCCGCAGAAGAAGCACCGGCUAACUCCGUG
rnacentral:rRNA from 1 species